CCCUCCCUCUGUCGGCAUGCCUAACACAUGCAAGUCGAACGAGACCUUCGGGUCUAGUGGCGCACGGGUGCGUAACGCGUGGGAACCUGCCCUUAGGUUCGGAAUAACUCCCCGAAAGGGGGGCUAAUACCGGGUAAUGUCUUCGGACCAAAGAUUUAUCGCCUUUGGAUGGGCCCGCGUUGGAUUAGCUAGUUGGUAGGGUAAAAGCCUACCAAGGCGACGAUCCAUAGCUGGUCUGAGAGGAUGAUCAGCCACACUAGGACUGAGACACGGCACAGACUCCUACGGGAGGCAGCAGUGGGGAAUAUUGGACAAUGGGCGAAAGCAUGAUGCAGCAAUGCCGCGUGAGUGAUGAAGGCCUUAGGGUUGUAAAGCUCUUUUACCCGGGAUGAUACUGACAGUACCGGGAGAAUAAGCUCCGGCUAACUCCGUG
rnacentral:rRNA from 1 species